CCUCAGACUUUUUUCUCAUUCAAAUCUAAAAGUACCUUUCCCUUUUGACUCAGUCUAUCAACAUAUAUAGAAGUUACAUGAUUAAACAUUGAAUACAUUUGCACUUUUCUUGUUUAAGAAGACAUUGAAUGCAAAAUAAUUUACACAUACAGUUUCAUAAACAUAUGUCCAGGACCCAAAGUCGAGAGUCUUCCACAUGUACAAUCUCCUCAUCCUGAAGCCUAUAACGAAGAAAAAGAUUUAGAAACUCAAGUUGUGGAGCUGACUCUAAGCAAAUGUGAUGAUUGGAAUUAGAACAUUUGAUCUUUGAACUCUCAUAGGAAAAGUGACCCACCAUUUCUUAGCAUGAGCUACCUCAUCUCUAGAAGCUGGGAUGGACUUAAUACUCUUGUUUAUAUUUUAGAUACUAAAAGGUGCUAUGCUUCUGUUUUUUAUUCCAAGACUGGAGAUAGGCAGGGCUAAAAUGUAUUAUUAUUUUUCCUCUAAUGAUGGUGCUAAAAUUCCUUCUAUAAAACUCUUCAAAAAUAAAGAUGGUUUCAUCAAUGCCACUUGUGAAAAAAAUAAUUGUUAGACUGCCCACUUCUGAAAGAAGGAGCGUUGUUCCAGUGCCUUUUCAUUGUUCACCUGUCCUACCGUAUCUGGAAUGUUAUGUGAAAGAUAAACAGCUGGGACCAUCCCAAAGGGCAAGCCAUGCACGCAACUUUAGUCAUGUAUCUCUCUGCAAAGCAUCAAAUUAAAUGCACGCUUUUGUCAUGUCAACGGUUUUCGUUUUGUGAGAUUCCUUUGAACGUAUUAGAUCCGUUUUACUUACGAUGGUGAAAAGUAGAGUGUUGUGUUCUUUUUUGCCAUUUGUUUAAAGGACAAAAUGACGAAUACCUUCCAUUGUGUAUAUAAUGGCUUAGAAAUGAAAAUCAAUUUUCAACAUCACCCACGAAGGCAACACGACACUAAUUAUCAUUGUCUUAAGCCCUUGAAAAUCUCAGGGUAGUAUUACUGAUAAAAAGAGAAAAGCAACUGAUUUUUCAUUGUUGAAUAAACUGAUAAUAAAAUGUAUGUUUCACAGUACAUCACAUAUGAAUUUAGCCUAAAUGAUUUGGGUUUUAUUUUCAAUAGUUAUUUCACAACAUUGUUUUCCCCCAGAUUGGUUUUUUUUUUUAUUUGAGCUGUACGUCUUAAUUUGAAUAUUUAUGUACCUGAAGGCAUCUGUGAGUUUUGUUUGUAUUAAAACGUCCUUCAAGUCCAACCUGUGCAGGUUGUACAGUUCAGAUAGAUAAACCAGAAAUAAUAGGUGGUGAUUCUCUUAAGUCAAAAACACUAACAAUCUCUGGCUCUAGAAAUACCAGCUCUUAGUUGGAGCUCAGGAAUGAAAUGUUGACCCGGACCAUCCCAGCCCUCAAAUUAUCUGAGUUCUACAUCCCGAGGUCCCACAAUGCCCGUGGACUUCUUUAACCGUCCAGCUGAUCCCUCAAACUCUACGUGGCCAAAAGUGAAAUAAUCUACAUCUGGGAGGGAUUCUAGCAUUCAUUUAUUACUAAUUUAUUAAAAAUACAAAUGAAGGGGCGCCUGGGUGGCUCAGUUGGUUAAGCCUCUGCCUUCGGCGUGGGUCAUGACCUCAGGGUCCUGGAGUUGACCCCAUGUCAGGCCCCCUGCUCAGCAGAGCCUGCUUCUCCUUCUCCUGUCCCUCCGCCUUGCUUGUGUUCUGUCUCUUACAAAUAAAAUCUUAAAAAAAUAAUACAAAUGAAAAUUCCUGGCAUUAACAGAAAUGAAGAAAAAUAGCAAAAAUAUAACAAACAAUGCUGAAAAGACAAAACAUAAAAUUUGGCAAAUUAUGGCCAAAUUGAACGUAACUUAUUCCAAAUUGAAAAGAGCUUCAGAGCAAUUGUACACAACAUCCCUUCUCAAAAGUGUUAUGUGUGGCUGAAGUCAAGUACAGAAAAUUCUGGGGGAGAAAAAGAAAAACCAUUGGAACUACAGAGAGUCCCUAUCAUGCUAUGAAUAACGAGAUGUCAGGAUCACUUUUUUCUUUGAAGUGAUGAAGAUUUCAGAAGAGC
rnacentral:lncRNA from 1 species